GUGCCAGCCGCCGCGGUAAUACGUAGGUGGCGAGCGUUAUCCGGAUUUACUGGGCGUAAAGCGCUUGUAGGCGGCCUUGUAAGUUGGGCGUGAAAGCUCCGGGCUUAACCCGGAGAGGCCGUCCAAUACUGCGAGGCUAGAGGGUGCCAGAGGAAGGUGGAAUUCCUGGUGUAGCGGUGAAAUGCGUAGAUAUCAGGAGGAACACCCGUGGCGAAGGCGGCCUUCUGGGGCAUUCCUGACGCUGAGAAGCGAAAGCUAGGGGAGCAAACAGGAUUAGAUACCCUGGUAGUCCUAGCCGUAAACGAUGGAUGCUAGGUGUUGGCGGACAAAAACCCGUCAGUGCCGAAGCUAACGCGUUAAGCAUCCCGCCUGGGAAGUACGGCCGCAAGGCUAAAACUCAAACGGAAUUGACGGGACCCGCACAAGCAGCGGAGCGUGUGGUUUAAUUCGAUGCUACACGAAGAACCUUACCCAGGCUUGACAUGCAGGUAGUAGUGAACCGAAAGGGGAACGACCCGCAAGGGAGCCUGCACAGGUGUUGCAUGGCUGUCGUCAGCUCGUGUCGUGAGAUGUUGGCUUAAGUGCCCUAACGAGCGCAACCCUUGCUGCCAGUUACACGUGUCUGGCGGGACUGCCGGUUACAAGCCGGAGGAAGGUGGGGAUGACGUCAAGUCAGCAUGGCCUUUAUGCCUGGGGCUACACACACGCUACAAUGGGACGGCACAAUGGGUAGCCAAGCGCGAGGCGGAGCCAAUCCUCAAAACGUCCCUCAGUUCAGAUUGCAGGCUGCAACCCGCCUGCAUGAAGUCGGAGUUGCUAGUAACCGCGCGUCAGCCAUAGUGCGGUGAAUACGUUCCCGGGUCUUGUACACACCGCCCGUC
rnacentral:rRNA from 1 species